rnacentral:lncRNA from 1 species
UUUCCUGCAGGCUGCAAGCUGAGCUCGGUGACCGUGGUUUACACGCCCUGGAGCAACCUGCGCAAAACGCCCGACAUGGACGUGGGGCAGAUCGGCUUCCACCGCAGCAAGGACGUGCGCUCGGUGACGGUGGAGCGGCGCGGGGCGGAGCAGCAAAGUCCCGUUAACCCCUGGUUUCAAUCCCAGUUUAACCCCAGUUCAAUCCCAGUUCAAGCCUGCUUUAAUUCCCGGUUUAAGGCUGCUCUAACCCUGCUUUAAUCCUGGUCUAAACCCCAGGUUAAUCCCGGUUUAACCCUGGUUCAAUCCCAGUUCAAUCCCAGUUUAACCCCGGUUUAACCCCGGUCUAUCCCCCAUAUUCCAGGUCCGUUGGGUGACGUUGGAGCGCCGCAGGGCGGAGCAGCGCACCCCCAUUAAACCUGGGUUUAAUCCCU